GGACUACCGGGGUUUCUAAUCCUGUUCGCUCCCCACGCUUUCGCUCCUCAGCGUCAGAACAGGCCCAGAGAACCGCCUUCGCCACCGGUGUUCCUCCCGAUAUCUGCGCAUUUCACCGCUACACCGGGAAUUCCAUUCUCCCCUGCCUGCCUCCAGCCAGCCCGUAUCCACUGCACGCCCGGGGUUAAGCCCCGGGAUUUCACAGCAGACGCGACAAGCCGCCUACGAGCUCUUUACGCCCAAUAAUUCCGGACAACGCUCGCGCCCUACGUGUUACCGCGGCGGCUGGCAC
rnacentral:rRNA from 1 species